rnacentral:rRNA from 1 species
UACGGAGGGUGCAAGCGUUAUCCGGAUUCACUGGGUUUAAAGGGUGCGUAGGUGGGCAGGUAAGUCAGUGGUGAAAUCUCCGGGCUUAACUCGGAAACUGCCAUUGAUACUAUCUUUCUUGAAUACCGUGGAGGUCAGCGGAAUAUGUCAUGUAGCGGUGAAAUGCUUAGAGAUGACAUAGAACACCUAUUGCGAAGGCAGCUUACUACGCCUAUAUUGACGCUGAGGCACGAAAGCGUGGGGAUCAAACAGG